rnacentral:sRNA from 1 species
CCUGUUCGUCGGCAGGUUCAAUCAGCGACGUCCUGUCGCAUCACCUGCACUAGAACGUCCUGUUCG